UACGGAGGGUGCGAGCGUUAUUCGGAAUUACUGGGCGUAAAGCGCACGUAGGCUGUUUAGUAAGUUUGAUGUGAAAUCCCAUGACUUAAUCAUGGAAGUGCGUUGAAUACUGCUAGACUGGAGUGUUGGAGGGGAGAACGGAAUUCCUGGUGUAGAGGUGAAAUUCGUAGAUAUCAGGAGGAACAACGGAGGCGAAGGCGGUUCUCUGGACAACAACUGACGCUGAGGUGCGAAAGCGUGGGGAGCAAACAGG
rnacentral:rRNA from 1 species